rnacentral:sRNA from 1 species
UGGGCUGGUCGUAAGACCCGGGUCCACAUAUUGGCGGGUAAGACACCC